rnacentral:tRNA from 1 species
GGAGGAGUGCCCGAGUGGACGAAGGGGGCCGACUCGAAAUCGGCUAAGGGAGGUAAUACCUCCCUUCGGGGGUUCGAAUCCCUCCUCCUCCG